AUAAACGCUGGCGGCGCACAUAAGACAUGCAAGUCGAACGGAAGUCGUUAUAAAAAGGAUUGAAGAUUUAUCUGAUUGAGAUUUUAUAACAAUGGCUUUAGUGGCGGACUGGUGAGUAACGCGUGAGCAACCUGCCUACUAGAGGGGAAUAACAGUGAGAAAUCAUUGCUAAUACCGCAUAUGCCAUGAACAUCACAUGAUGAAAGUGGGAAAAGAGUAAUCUGCUAGUAGAUGGGCUCGCGUCUGAUUAGAUAGUUGGUGGGGUAACGGCCUACCAAGUCGACGAUCAGUAGCCGGACUGAGAGGUUGAACGGCCACAUUGGGACUGAGAUACGGCCCAGACUCCUACGGGAGGCAGCAGUCGGGAAUAUUGCGCAAUGGAGGAAACUCUGACGCAGUGACGCCGCGUAUAGGAAGAAGGUUUUCGGAUUGUAAACUAUUGUCGUUAGGGAAGAUACAAGACAGUACCUAAGGAGGAAGCUCCGGCUAACUACGUGCCAGCAGCCGCGGUAAUACGUAGGGAGCAAGCGUUAUCCGGAUUUAUUGGGUGUAAAGGGUGCGUAGACGGGAAAGCAAGUUAGUUGUGAAAUCCCUCGGCUUAACUGAGGAACUGCAACUAAAACUGUUUUUCUUGAGUGUUGGAGAGGAAAGUGGAAUUCCUAGUGUAGCGGUGAAAUGCGUAGAUAUUAGGAGGAACACCGGUGGCGAAGGCGACUUUCUGGACAAUAACUGACGUUGAGGCACGAAAGUGUGGGGAGCAAACAGGAUUAGAUACCCUGGUAGUCCACACCGUAAACGAUGGAUACUAGGUGUAGGGAAUGAUUUCAUUUUCUGUGCCGUCGCAAACGCAAUAAGUAUCCCACCUGGGGAGUACGGCCGCAAGGUUGAAACUCAAAGGAAUUGACGGGGGCCCGCACAAGCGGAGGAACAUGUGGUUUAAUUCGAUGAUACGCGAGGAACCUUACCCGGGCUUAAAUUGCAGAUGAAUUGCGGUGAAAGCCGUAAGCCGCAAGGCAUCUGUGAAGGUGCUGCAUGGUUGUCGUCAGCUCGUGUCGUGAGAUGUUAGGUUAAGUCCUGCAACGAGCGCAACCCCUGUGAUUAGUUGCCAACAGGUUAAGCUGGGAACUCUAAUCAGACUGCCGGUGAUAAAUCGGAGGAAGGUGGGGAUGACGUCAAAUCAUCAUGCCCUUUAUGUCUUGGGCUACACACGUACUACAAUGGCUGUAACAGAGAGAAGCAACACCGCGAGGUAGAGCGAAACUCCAAAAGCAGUCUCAGUUCGGAUUGAAGGCUGAAAUUCGCCUUCAUGAAGCCGGAAUUGCUAGUAAUGGCAGGUCAGCAUACUGCCGUGAAUACGUUCCCGGGCCUUGUACACACCGCCCGUCACACCAUGAGAGUUGGGAAUACCCGAAGCCUGUGAGCCAACUAAUUUAUUAGAGGCAGCAGUCGAAGGUAGAAUCAAUGAUUGGGGUG
rnacentral:rRNA from 1 species